AACCACGAAACCGCCCCGCGUGGGGCGGUCGCCGGGGCGUGGUGGCUCCGGCCUGACGAGCAGCCAAGG
rnacentral:hammerhead_ribozyme from 2 species